AUUGAACGCUGGCGGCAGGCCUAACUCAUGCAAGUCGAACAGUAACAGGAAGCAGCUUGCUGCUUCGCUGACGAGUGGCGGACGGGUGAGUAAUGUCUGGGAAACUGCCUGAUGGAGGGGGAUAACUACUGGAAACGGUAGCUAAUGCCGCAUAACGUCGCAAGACCAAAGAGGGGGACCUUCGGGCCUCUUGCCAUCGGAUGUGCCCAGAUGGGAUUAGCUAGUAGGUGGGGUAACGGCUCACCUAGGCGACGAUCCCUAGCUGGCCUGAGAGGAUGACCAGCCACACUGGAACUGAGACACGGUCCAGACUCCUACGGGAGGCAGCAGUGGGGAAUAUUGCACAAUGGGCGCAAGCCUGAUGCAGCCAUGCCGCGUGUAUGAAGAAGGCCUUCGGGUUGUAAAGUACUUUCAGCGGGGAGGAAGGCGAUAAGGUUAAUAACCUUGUCGAUUGACGUUACCCGCAGAGAAGCACCGGCUAACUCCGUGCCAGCCGCCGCCGUAA
rnacentral:rRNA from 1 species